ACCUGGCUGGCUCAAUCAGUGGAGCACGUGACUCCUGAUCUUGUGUCCUGAGUUCAAGCCCCAUGUUGGGUA
rnacentral:tRNA from 1 species